rnacentral:rRNA from 1 species
UACGUAGGGGGCAAGCGUUGUCCGGAAUCAUUGGGCGUAAAGAGCGUGUAGGCGGUUCGGUAAGUCGGCUGUGAAAGUCCAGGGCUCAACCCUGGGAUGCCGGUCGAUACUGCCGGACUAGAGUUCGGAAGAGGCGAGUGGAAUUCCCGGUGUAGCGGUGGAAUGCGCAGAUAUCAGGAGGAACACCAAUAGCGAAGGCAGCUCGCUGGGACGUUACUGACACUGAGGCGCGGAAAGCGUGGGGAGCGAACAGG